UUUUUGGUGGGUUAGUAGAACUUUGAUGUUUCCUUCAUUUUGAGUUCAUGAGCUUCACCCAUAAAAGAAUAGUUGCUAGUGCUUUGUACCUCAUGUUAUGUGAGACUGAAGCAGUUGUAUUGGAGUUGGCCUUCCCUAGUAUCUUGGAGACACCUUAAACUGGCUAGAAAGCGAAUAACAAGAACUGAUUGAAGUGGCCAUCAUCAAUUUAAGUUGCUGAAUUAUGUGAAAGUACAAUAAUUGGUCAUAUGGCAUCAGUGAUGAGAAUCAUUGACUUAAAUCUAAUAAUUAUUGGUUAACACAGUUAAUUGUUCAACUUU